CACAAAUGAGUGUAAUUUACCUGAGUUAUGUGUACCAGUAAUAAUGAUACACAUUUUAAAUGAGGUAGCAUGAUUAAUUCAGAACAGAAUAUUUUUAUAUUUGCUUAAGUGCCCUUGUUUUAUUUUUUGUUUUGUUAUUUACCAUUGGUUAAUAGAGUAGUAAUUAUUUUUUUAACCGUUACUUUUUUUUUUCUACUGUUCUCUCCUUCUCCUGGAAACCUUGUCUUCUCCUCCUUCUCUCCCACUCUCUCCCUCGCGAUUUCCGGUUGCCAUCACCUUACAUCUCGUCGGCGUCUCAACAUUUAGUCUUCGCACUUCAUAGGGUUGCUAUGUGUACAUUAUCAUUGGUUAUUGUGAGGGUGGAGAUAUGGCGGAAGCUAUAAAGAAAGCUAAUGAUGUUUUGUUUUCUGAGGAGGUAGCGUCUGAAUUUUUUUCCUUGCAAAAAUUAUAAACGAUAUCUCUUCGCCUUUGGACAAGAAUAUUCAUCUUUAAGUAAAUUAGAGAGUAUUUAUACUUGGACCAGUAAAAUCUAAAAAAAAAAAAGUCAAAUAUUUGCAGAAACUGUGUAAGUGGCUUGUUCAACUUCUUAUGGCCCUUGAUUACUUGCACAUGAACCAUAUUCUUCAUCGUGAUGUCAAGGUGAGCAGCAAAAGCUUCUUUGCACUUGGUGAUAGUGUUUCUAUUUACAUCCACUCAGCAACCCAGAUUCCACAAUCAUUCCUAAACACAUUAGAAAAUUAAAAAAACAAACUAGUUAUAAUAUAUAUUAUAAUAUUAAAG